rnacentral:rRNA from 1 species
UACGUAGGCAGCAAGCGUUGUUCGGAAUUACUGGGCGUAAAGAGUGUGUAGGCGGUGCUCUAAGUCUGUUGUGAAAUCUCCCGGCUUAACCGGGAGGGUGCGGCGGAAACUGGAGUGCUUGAGGGUGGGAGAGGUAAGCGGAAUUCCUGGUGUAGCGGUGAAAUGCGUAGAUAUCAGGAGGAACACCUGUGGUGUAGACAGCUUACUGGACCGCUUCUGACGCUGAGGCACGAAAGCGUGGGUAGCAAACAGG